rnacentral:rRNA from 1 species
GACGAACGCUGGCGGCGUGCCUAAUACAUGCAAGUCGAACGGAGUGGCGAACGGGUGAGUAAUGUAUCGGAACGUGCCCAGUAGCGGGGGAUAACUACGCGAAAGCGUAGCUAAUACCGCAUACUAUUGGAGUGGCCGUUAUCGGUUUAGGUAGUUGGGGGGGUAACGGCUCUCCAAGGCGACGAACCCAAGCUGGUGUGAGAGGACGACCGCCCACACUGGGACGGUGACACGGCCCAGGCUCAUACGGGAGGCAGCAGUGUGGAAUUUUGGACAAUGGGGGAAACCCUGAUCCAGCCAUCCCGCGUGUGCGAUGAAGGCCUUCGGGUUGUAAAGCACUUUUGGCAGGAAAGCGGUACCUGCAGAAUAAGCACCGGCUAACUACGUGCCAGCCGCCGCGGUAAUAC